CCAUCUUUUCCUUCCUACCUUCAAAAACCUGCCAAAUGUCCUCGAAAAGAACCUGCAAAAAGAAACUAUACACCAAUGGAAGUUCCAAUAAUUGAUACCGGUUUGUAUUUAAAUUUGAUCUAUAUCUUUAAUUAAUAAAUAUUUAAAAUUAUUAAGCUUUAGAUCUUGAAGUAGAUGACACUAAAAUAUUGGUUGAAAAAAGUGAUGAUAUCCUAAAAAUAAAUUCUGUUGCUGAUAAAGCAGUUCAAACAUUAGAAAAUUAUGCAGAUGAACUUUUCUUAAAAAGCAAAAUGCGAAGAAACUGAACAUUUUAUAAGUCAUUGAUCAAAUAUUUGAUUUUUUAAAUUCUCGUAAUCCUUAUGGAAAAGGUUUUAAAAAACCAUUAUAUAAAGAUGAUGUGAAAAGAAUGCAGUGUAUAAUGAUACCUUUAGUGGAGUAUUUACUCAACCUCACAGAUAUCAAGGGAGUACCAAUUUAUCUGACUCCACGCAAAACCUUUAUUAUUGGGUUUGCAAUAGCAGUUAAAGCAAUGUUCAGCUUAGCAGAUGAAAUUUUUCAAAUUACCCAGUAUAAAUACAUUUUAACUUACAAAUUUUCACAAGACCAUCUGGAAAUGUUUUUUUCAAAAAUCAGACAACGUUUUGGAAAUAAUAACAAUCCAAAUGCCCUUGAAUUAAAAACUGCUAUGAAACAAAUCCUGCUGAAGAACUCCAUAACAUCAUCAUAUGCUGCUAAUUGUAUAGCUUUGGACAACACAGGCACAGAAAGCGUGUUUGAAAUACGUUGGGCAAAGAAAAAAGUUGAAAGUUUGGAAGAAGAGGAAGAAAUACCAGAUUUAUUCCCCAGUAUGAACAAUACAUUUGAUAUUGUUAAAGACAACAUUUUGUAUUAUAUUUCUGGGUUUAUUGUUAGAUGUUUGUUGAAAAAAGUUGAUUGUCAAACAUGUGCUAAUAGUAUGUUAGAAACAUUAUCUGAACACAAUUAUAACCAUAAAUAUUCUCACUAUAUAUUAGUUAAUGUCAAAAAUAGAGGAGGGUUGAUUAAAAGUUCAAUUAAUGUAAUUAAAAUAGUUAGAGUUAUUGAAAAUACCUUAAUUCAAUUAACUUUAGGUUAAUUAGUAGUAAUAUUUUUAAAGAUCUAAAUUGUGACAAUGAUGGUUUUUUAGAAAACCAUAGAUUAAAUUUGGUAACCUUAAUUUCUAAACAAUAUUUAAAAAUUAGAUUACAUCACUUGUCUAAUUUAAAAACAAUUUGUAAUGUCAGUAAACGACGUUUACUUACUAAAUUAAUUAUUUUUAAUCACCAGUAGUUACUUAUUAAACACUUAUAUUGCUUGUAAACUUGUAUUAUUUUAUUAUCUUAUUUUAUCGCUAUAUAUUAUAAUUUAACACAAUAUCAAAAUUGUAUGAAUCUUCUUGAAAAUCAUAAAAUCGAUUUUAUUGAUAAAUCAAACCUACGUGAAUAAUACCUACUUUUUACUUUAAAACUUCUAAAAUAAAAUAAAACUAAUGUUACUUUAUUCAAGUACGAUUACCAAGUUGAAAAAAGUUACCAACUUGUGUAGAUUAGUAAAAUUAAAACAUUUUAUUUAUUAUUUAUUAGUAUUUUGUGUUAUAAUAAUAUUAUAGUGAAUAUGACUUUUUUGCCAACCAACAAAAUAGCGGAUGUGUGAUAAGCGCUCAACAGCUGCUGGGCUUCACCGCUCCAUGUUUUCGGUUGGCAUAAUAUUGUAUAAUUCGUAUGUUAAAUAUUCGGCUGAACAAAACUAAAACACGGUAACUAACGUUCUUAUCAAAAUCAAUUGUCAAUUGGAUUGUCAAGCAAUAGUAGAAGAAGAUGAUCAAACAAAAUCUCAAGAGGAAUGGAUUGAAGAAAGAAGUUUUUUUCGAAAACUCCUACGUGGAGUAAAGGUGUCAUUAUUGGAGCUUAUAGAAAAAUAUGAAGCAACUAGUAAUUCUGUGACCACUCCAUCGUAUAGUGAAAUUUCUAGAAGUAAAAAGUUCAACAUGUUGAGGCUUCCAACACUAAAAACACCCUCCUUCAAUGGUGAUUGGCAACAAUGGACAGCCUUCAUUGAUGAGUUCAAUACAAUGUUUCACAAUAAUGAAGAUGUACCCAUUAUCUUAAAAUUUCACUAUUUGAAAACCUGUGAUGUCAGCCUCUGCUAGUGAGUUGCAACGACUGCAUUAUCACAUAUCGUCAAACAUCAAUGCGCUAACAGCCCUUCAGCAGCCAGUAGACCAAUGGGAUGCUUGGCUAGUAACCCUUAUGUGCACUC